UGAGUAACCUGCCCUUAACUCUGGGAUAAGCCUGGGAAACUGGGUCUAAUACCGGAUAUGACUCCUCAUCGCAUGGUGGGGGGUGGAAAGCUUUAUUGUGGUUUUGGAUGGACUCGCGGCCUAUCAGUUUGUUGGUGAGGUAAUGGCCCACCAAGGCGACGACGGGUAGCCGGCCUGAGAGGGUGACCGGCCACACUGGGACUGAGACACGGCCCAGACUCCUACGGGAGGCAG
rnacentral:rRNA from 1 species